rnacentral:rRNA from 1 species
AUUGAACGCUGGCGGCAGGCCUAACACAUGCAAGUCGAACGAGUGGCGGACGGGUGAGUAAUGUCUGGGAAACUGCCUGAUGGAGGGGGAUAACUACUGGAAACGGUAGCUAAUACCGCAUACCAUCGGAUGUGCCCAGAUGGGGUUAGCUAGUGGGUGGGGUAACGGCUCACCUAGGCGACGAUCCCUAGCUGGUCUGAGAGGAUGACCAGCAACACUGGAACGGAGAAACGGUCCGGCCUCCUACGGGAGGCAGCGGUGGGGAAUAUCGCACAAGGGGCGCAAGCCUGAUGCAGCAAUGCCGCGGGUAUGAAAAAGGCCUUCGGGUUGUAAAGUACUUUCAGCGGGGAGGCGUUACCCGCAGAAGAAGCACCGGCUAACUCCGUGCCAGCAGCCGCGGUAAUUC